AAUCAACGCUGGCGGCGUGCCUCAGACAUGCAAGUCGAACGAUUAAAGCUCUCUUCGGAGAGUGUAUAGAGUGGCGCACGGGUGAGUAACACCGUAAGUAAUCUACCCUCGAGUGGGGAAUAACAACCGGAAACGGUUGCUAAUACCGCAUAAUGCAGCGGCACCGCAAGGUGACAGUUGUUAAAGAUUUAUCGCUUGAGGAGGAGCUUGCGGCAGAUUAGCUAGUUGGUAGGGUAACGGCUUACCAAGGCUACGAUCUGUAACCGGUCUAAGAGGACGGUCGGUCACACUGACACUGAAUAACGGGUCAGACU
rnacentral:rRNA from 1 species